UACGUAGGUGGCAAGCGUUGUCCGGAUUUACUGGGCCUAAAGAGCGCGCAGGCGGUCGUUCAAGUCGCGUGUGAAAGCCCCCGGCUCAACUGGGGAGGGUCACGCGAUACUGAUCGACUCGAAGGCAGGAGAGGGUAGUGGAAUUCCCGGUGUAGUGGUGAAAUGCGUAGAUAUCGGGAGGAACACCAGUGGCGAAGGCGACUACCUGGCCUGUUCUUGACGCUGAGGCGCGAAAGCUAGGGGAGCAAACGGG
rnacentral:rRNA from 1 species